AGCGAACGCUGGCGGCAGGCUUAACACAUGCAAGUCGAACGCCCCGCAAGGGGAGUGGCAGACGGGUGAGUAACACGUGGGAACGUACCCUUUGGUUCGGAAUAACUUGGGGAAACUCAAGCUAAUACCGGAUAAGCCCUUAUGGGGAAAGGUUUACUGCCGGAGGAUCGGCCCGCGUCUGAUUAGCUAGUUGGUGAGGUAAUGGCUCACCAAGGCGACGAUCAGUAGCUGGUCUGAGAGGAUGAUCAGCCACACUGGGACUGAGACACGGCCCAGACUCCUACGGGAGGCAGCAGUGGGGAAUAUUGGACAAUGGGGGCAACCCUGAUCCAGCCAUGCCGCGUGGGUGAUGAAGGCCUUAGGGUUGUAAAGCUCUUUUACCCGGGACGAUAAUGACUGUACCGGGAGAAUAAGCCCCGGCUAACUUCGUGCCAGCAGCCGCGGUAA
rnacentral:rRNA from 1 species